UACAACCACCGAUCCAAAGAAACGAGUUCUCGAAAGUGCUCCCCCAGCUUGGAGCCAAAAAGGAAGGCCCAUCGUGUUUGGCUAGUUCGGCUCGAGAGUUGUUGUAGUUCUCGAAGUGGGAGACGAUUUUUUUGGUUAUGAGUUGGAGGUAGUCGACGUCGGUUGGGUAGUUGGUGAGUGUUUGGAGUAAUUCGUCCAGAUCGAGCUGUUGCUGAGCCACCCAGUUCUUAUAGCAGCAUUGGAACUGUUGGUGUUUCAUUUGUUUGGCCAUGAGGCGACUCUUGACUCCAAACACACACACACUGAAUUGGUUAUGAACAUGAAGUGGAUAUAUAUAUAUAUAUACUGAAGGAGAAGGGACUGCAAAAGUGGGAGAAGAAACUAAAGAGGGACGUCCACAUGAAGACACAGAUUUCUUAGAAUGACUUAAGUGUAAGUUUUCUCAUGUUCCCUUUUUUAAGUGGAUAUUUACGAUGUUUGAUUUGAAAAUUUAUAGAAUAUAUGUGGGUCUCGUAUUAACCACUUCCAAAAAGGCUCUUGUGAAGAGAGGAAUGACUCAAACGUAUAUAGAAAAUGAUGUGAGAGUAUAGAUGAGGUCGACAAGGUUGUGUUAGCCAUGGGUGCGGUGUAUCGGGUUUGAUACCAUAUUUCUCUAUUCUAAUAAAAGAGUAGUUUUAUUCUCCUUUUGAUAUGUGUCACCAUAUUAAGCCUCAUAAUUAAUGCAAAUUUUAUUUUUCUUUUGCAUGUUUCACCUUAUUAUGUCUCAUAAUUAAUGCAUACCAUUUGUUAACAUAUUGAUUUUCAAUUUCAAAUUUCAAAUUUCAAAUUUUAAAUUUCUCAUUUUAAUUACAUUAAAUUAACAAUAUUAUAAUAAAAAUUAAAAUAAAAUUAAUAAAAAUUAUAAAAUGAUAUAAUUUUACAUAUUUAUUUAAAUCAAUGAUUAUAAUUUUAUAUAACUAAAAAAACCUCUUAAUGAAUAAUUUAUUUAAAACAAGUUAUUAAUAUUUUUAAAUUUUAACUAUUAAUCUUUAAUUAAUUUUAUAACCGUGGUUCCCACGGGUUAUAAACUAGUAAGAUAUAUGAGAGUCUCAUGUUAACUUUCUAAAAGAGCCCUUAACGAAAAAACGGAAAAUGACUUAAAAGUUCAACGAAGUUUCCAAACCAUUCAAAAAAACCCAAUCAUGUUUUGUCUGUUCAAAAAAACUCAACGAACUUAAUAUUUUGUCUAAAAAGUCCAACAAAGUUCCAAACCGUUCAGAAAAUUCCAAUUUUGUUUUGUUUAAAUUCGUUGAGUUUUUUUUUUGAACAGUCAAAACAUGAUUGUAGUUUUUAAACGUUUUGGAAACUUUUCUUGGUCUAACAAGUCAUUUUAUCGAUACGGUAAUAUCUGUUUCUCUUAUUUGACUUUCAGGAAAGUGUAACUUAGUUAGGUUUUUUAGACAAAAUGUUAAGUUUGUUAGGUUUUUUUUAACAGACAAAACAUGAUUGAGGUUUUUUGAACGGUUUAGAAACUUCAUUGGGCUUUUAAGUCAUUUUCCCAUGAAAAAAAGAAGACUCUAAAAUAGACAUAAGAAGUAUGUUAUACCAAUAUAUGCACACCAUCAUGGCCCUAUCAGAGGGUAGGGCAGCAUAGGCGAUUAACGGGCAAUUACAGCUUUCAAAUUUUUGGAGCUCAUUUUUAUGUAUUUACUUAUAUUAUUCAAAAAUAAAAAACUUUUGGUAUUAAGUAGUGGCAUGUAGAAAAAAAAUCUCAUUUUUUAUUUAGCCCGAUGCCUCAAAUUGGGAUAAAACAAAAAGAGACGGUGUAUCAUGAUGGAAGCUGUAAAUAAGACAACAAAGUGUACCAGAAUACAAAUGCAAUGAAUGGAGGUCAAAAAUUGACAUAAAAUUUGGCAAGUUUUCAUGGGGCAUGUGGGCAACUUUCUCCAGCUACAUCUUUUUGUACAUACAUAGAGUCAUGAAUAAAAAUAUUAUACGUGAAAUUAUUUGACUGAGGAGAGACUAAAGAUUUUGUCAUUAAUCUAUCAACCAUUCUAGGAUGUGUUUUGGAUAAAUAAUAAUCGACCUAUUAGAACUUUAUUUAUGACAAUACGUCCAACCACUCAACCAGAAUGACACAUAUAGCGACUAUGAUGUCAUGUGAACUUAAAAUAUAAAAUUGAAUUUGCAACUAGAUUAGGCAGGUUAAUGAGUAACUCCAUUUUAGAUAGAUUGAUCAUUGAUGCCUGGUUGAUGUAAGAUUAAAAAUAAAAAAAAUUCUUUAAAGAUUCUUUUAUUCCCUAAAUACUCUUAAAAAACUUCUAUUUUAAUAAUGAUUGUAAACAUUCAAGCCUUGAAGUUGCAUAGAUCGAUCAUUGAUGCUUUAUGAAUUCAUAGAACGAUCAUGCUCGGUCAUUUUACGUUAUCUCUCAACCAUGGAUAAACAUAGGUAAAAGAUUUACCUUUUUAGACCUUCAAUGGUUCAUGCGAUAUUUUAAUUUAAAGCAAUUCCUACAUCACCUGUAGGGAAUGACCCAAGGAAUGUUACGCAUGUAGGUACUCACAACUAAGUUUUCCACCAAUAAAACACUUGUUCAACAAGAAAUUAAAAGCUCUCGUUUUUUCUUAUUUCCCAGUUUUGCCGUGUUCUCAUCUUCCUUCUUGUUCUGUUAUGUGUUCUUUUCUUAGGCAACAAGGUUGCAUCAGGUAUCAAUCAGGUAGAUACCUUACACUUGGUAUCACAGAAAAGAUAAAAAAAACGAUUGAUCAUAACCCCACCAUGGAAAUACCGACGAUGCAAUAUCCUGUCUUGACCAGAACUAACUAUGCUGCAUGGGCGAUUAAGAUGAAGGUGUUCAUGCAAGCAUAGGAAUUUUGGGAUGCUAUUGAACCUAAGAAUCCCUGAAAUGCAAUUGGUGUUAAGAAAUCCUUUUGUCGAUAGCGGAGAAGCAAACGGAAAAGAGGUGUGGGAAACACUUGUAUAUGGGUGCAGAUCGAGAUUGAACAUGAAUGAAUCCGAGACGGUUGAUGAUUUUAUGAGCAACAUCCGGACUUUAUGUGAUACCGUAGAUGAAUUAUACGUGGUCAAGAAGAUUCUACGAGCCGUGCCCUCGAAGUUUGUUCAAAUUGCAUCAACAAUUGAGCAAUUCGUUGAUCUUGAUACGAUAUUUGAAGAAGUCGUUGGCAUAUUCAAAGCACAUGAAGUGCAAGUACAUCAAGAAGUAGAGGAAAAGAAAUUGCUCUUAACCCAUGAAUAAUGGUUAGAAAGAAAUAAGAAGCAAUUGAACCGGCAAGAGUCAAAGAACAAGCAAAGAGGUAAUUCAAGCAAUCGUAGGGGACGAGGAAGAGGAAACUGGAACAAUUCAAGUCAUGGAAGAUGUGGUAAUCACCAAAGUAGAGUCUAAGCUACUUAGCCCAAAAACCAGGGUAAAAGACCAUUCUACCUUUUAUCACACUUGACCUAAAGCCAAGGCCCAACUCAACUACUUCCAAGGCCCAAAUCCUAAAUAAUAUUCCAAAGCCCAAUAUGGCCCAAUCUUCCAAAUUGGGCCAAAAACCGAUAAUGGGCCUAAAUCCAAAGGAGCCCAAAAAUACAAACUAGAAGCCCAAAAUAGAAGUCUAAUGGCCCAACAAGGCCCAAACUAAGGAAAACCAACCACUGGCCUAAACCGAGAAUACCACGCCCAAACUUCCAUCUGCCGAGUACGCGGGGCGUACUCAUUUCGUACACUAAGCAUACUCCGUCCAAGGUCAGUAUGUGCAGUGUACCAGUUGGGUAUGCCAAGUGUAAUCUCCAGACCACCUUUUCACUCCAAUAAGCACUUAAUCAGCUAAGACAAAGUGCCAAACUCUCAGAUCUGAUUCUUUAAGGGUACCUAUCACGUAAAGUUGGCAACUUUACACUCAUGCAUGGCUUAAAGGGGCUCAAAAGCUCAAAAAGAGCUUAAUAAAGGUCUUAAUGCUUGCAUGGACCAAUAUCUUCUAUAAAGUUGAUAUUUUUAUGAACAUGGGGACUCAAUGGAGCCAAGAUCUAGCAUCCAUAGCUUCUAGAGCAGAUCAAAAGCUCACCUUUAACUCAAAAGCUCAAAAAGUGCACAAAGUACACCAUAAAAUAGAUGUACCACCAAAGUCUAUCAAGGUGAGAGCUUUUUACUUCAAAAUUGUAACGAACCAAUUUUACCAAGAAAUUUUUCAUUUUUAAUUAAUCAAACAAAUCCCAGAAUCCAUAGAUUUCCAAACCAUUUGUUUUCCCAAUUCACAGUUAUUACAAUUUUCAUUGUACUUUUUGAAAACAUCAGAGAGUCCCAACACACAAAAAGAGAGGUAGAGUACACGCCACGUCAUCACGCCUUGCCUUUGUCCUUAGGCUCUGAAGUACCUGAAACAACCAACAACCUGUAAGCGAAAUGCUUAGUGAGUUUCCUAGAGCAUACCACACACACACACAAACCACAUAUCACAUAUCCUGUUAGCUAUAAAAGCUACACACAUAAUACGUAAGCCAUGCAUACAUAAAACCUGAGAGAAUGCCAUGGGCUACCCCACAUGGUCUUUUCCUAGGACUGCCAUGGGCUCCCCCAUAUGGACUUACAUCCAAUGCCAUGGGCUACCCCACAUGGUCUUCACCUAGGACUACCAUGGGCUACCCCACAUGGUCUUACAUCCAAUGCCACGGGUUCCCCCGGGGUCUUCAUACAAAAGAUGCAAUCACAUAACAAAACACAAAAUGUCUAUCACAUAUAUCAUAAUCACAUACUGGGCCGACCUUGGUGCCUUAGAACCAUAGGUAUGGUGAGAAGACUCACAUGUCACGAAUGCUGAACUGACACUUUGCGACCAAAUAUACCCCACGAGUUGCUCCACUCAUCUGCCUAAAAAGUGACACACAAUAUCUAGUCAUUUCCCUAAAGUCAAUCCUGGUCAACUACAACCAAGAUCAAGUCAACCGUCCAUGUUGACCCUAACUCGCCGAGUACAACUAGUGACUCGCCGAGUUUCUCGGAAUAACGUCUACUCGCCGAGUUCACACGGUCAUGAUUGAUAAUCUAAGGUCCUUCAUCGAGUUUCCUUGCUUGCCACUCAACACGUCUACGAACAUCCAAUAGCCAGGGGAAUCUUACUCGACUCACCGAGUUGUUCCUUCAACUCGUCGAGUUCUAUGAAAUCUUCAUCCGGCUCGCCGAGUUGUGCAUCCAACUCGUCGAGUCUAAGACAAUAUUCAUCGGGCCCGCCGAGUCGUUCAUCCAACUCGUCGAGUUCAUGCUUGCCUUUAUAUUGAUGGGUUUUAUACAAACAAUCCUAUGUGUACAUGCAACCCUAGCAUUGGAUCUAUGUUUUCACUAUUAGAUACACAACAUUAUGAACACAUAAUAAAACCCUAAUCAGGAUUGCUAUUUUCGAAAUUAACCAAGAAGGUUAGAUUACAUACCUCUUGUUGUUAUAUUGUAAUAACAACUUAAAUCUUCAAACCUAAAGUCUUGAAAGCAAGCACCACAAGUGUAGUGCCUCUAAUGACUCACAAACACCAAGAGCAAAUGGAGAAGGUAUAAAGAGAGAGGAGAGGUAUAAGAAUUCGUCUCUAGGACCUCUUGGGAAGGCAUGGACGAAUUCAUGAGCCUUAGGGGUCUUUAUAUAGGUGUAGAGAUUAGGGUUUUAGUCCUUAUCCUUAUCUAGUUGCUUGCCCACCAAGUAACCAUAAGAUAAGCCUUGAAAACCCUUAUCCUUUAUCCUUUGGACGAUUUCAAGGAUCCUUAUCUCCUUGAAUUCGUUCAACCCAUAUUUAGGAUAACCAUUACCAUAUUUUGUAACUAUCACAUAAUUACAAUUCAGCCCUUCUAGUUUAAUUAAUUACACUUGAUCACAAAAUUAAUUCUUAAUUAUUUAUUGACCAAUAUUAAUUAAACAAAUAUGAUUUCUCCUUUAAUAUAUUAUUCUUAUAACAUAUUAAUAAAUCAUAAUAACCUCUCUCUCUUUAUUUAUUUCUCCAAUCAAGUUGCUUUGGUGAAGGCAACCCAAAAGGACCAUGCACCAUCGGGUCAAGUACAUACCAAAAUAGUUAUGGACUUAGACACUAAUCCAACAGUCUCCCACUUGGAUAAGUCUAAUAACUAUUCUGCGUAUGACUUCAGAUCCUGAUCUGCAAUCGUAGCUUUCCAAAGCCGCUGUCAACUCUGAUCCUAUCAGAUACGCGUGUCCUUAGAUAAGGGAUCAUAUAUUCCUCCAUUCUAGAUAUCAUAUGAGAUAUGAUUUCAAAUCAUUCUCUUUGUACUAUAUCUCGAUUCCCGAUUUAUGACGACUGACUAAUUGAACAAAUCAAAUUAGCCCUAGCCCGGCCGAGCAUUUACGUUUGUCAUCACUAAAUCAUCGAGGGGCCCAAAGAUAUCGCUUUUAUCCUACUUUGGAUAAAAGGAACGGAUAAACUUUGAUACAAUGCUUGCUUGCACUCACUCACCGAAUCACACACAACAAUAUGUUUUAUAACACCAAGUUACUAGUGCGUUUACAUAUUAUCAAUGUGCAACCGAUUCGCAAGAUACAACUCACACAUCUCGGUUUCAAGAAUAUAAGAUGUUAUCGUCUCACCAAUCACUCGUGAUACAAUUCAUGGAGUGAUCCAAGUGAGCGUGGGUUUAAUCCAAUGCUCAAAUCAUAUUCAUAAGCACUCAUGAACGUUGCAGCAAACAUUUGCUUAUGUCUAAUACUCUUUUAGACAAUCCACACACCAAUUCACGACAGUCUUCAUUCAUAUCUACUUCCAACAUAUGAACGACUGUGGCCCGUUCGAAUAAUUCGAUUAUUCUUAAUAAACUCAAUUAUUCUGGAAGUCAAAACAUGCAAAUGUGAAACACAAGAAUAAUACUAAUCCCAUAUGGCCUCAAACCUUUGAGUAUAAAUAAAACACCUUUUAUUUAUCACCAUAUUGAUUACUCAUUAUUUGUCGUUUCGGGUAAUCAACUUCUUACUUGAAUUACAACACUUGUCCCAUGCUCCUAGCAUGCACACAAUGUUUACCUAUGGUUCUUACUUUGUGAAAUAGAUCACAUUGAACACAUUUCCAAUCAUUCUCAUUUCACAACUCCAAAUCCUUUUUCAUAAGUGUAAGAAUAUCAAAUUCUUGCUACUUAUAGAAUAUGCUAGAUUCUAACAUUUUAUGCAACUAUCCUUUCGUAAUGUCACUGCACCAAAGUCACAAAGACUAUUGCCAAUGAUAUUACAAAGUCCUCUAUCGGAGAUUGUUACAAGACAAUUCCAUAGAUGUGAUGUCUCUCACUCAAAGUACAUUCUUUGAACAUCCUUUUGCAUAGAAGUUUCUAAUCUAGUCAUAGAUUUCUCAAUAUUCAAUUCCCAAUAUGGACACACUUCCAUAUGUUCCAUAUGACAACUCAUUCUUAAUAGAAUCUUAUCUAUUCGUAAUGAUGUCGAUAUGGUCCAUCCAAUAUGGAAACAUUUCCAUAUUUUCCAAUACUAUACUUCCAACUACUCACAAGCGACCAAUCCUCGUCGAACUUGGAUUGUCCUUUGAUAGUUGUUUAAUUAUUUUAGUCAAAACCAAUUCUAGUCCCUUUUCCCUCUAAAUGCGCUCGACAUUUGGAAAAUUUUAGAAUGGUCAAACAUUAAAGCAUUUGCAAUCGAUCCUAUACCCGAAGCGUAUGGGACACGACGCAUAAUGUUUUAUUUGCUAUGUUCUCAAAAUUCGAAUUGUGAAGAGGGAUGCCGUAAUCAUAAUCGAAAUUUUAAGAACACACUUUGUACCUUUGACUAAAUUUUAUUAACAUUUCUCAACCUAAACCUUUAGAUUUGAAAUGAAGCAUAAUAUUCUCUCCCUUAAUUAUAGCAAAACAACUCUUCAACUAUUGCGACUUUGCAAAGUAUGACUCUUGUUUUCUAUAAUUAAUAUUGCUAACCUUGCAAUACUUUCCUUAAUAAUCAUACAAUCAUAACUUUUAUGCUCCCACUAUCUUGAUGAUUAUUAUAAAACAUAACACUUAUGCUCCCACUAGCUUCGACAUGUAUUCAUAAACAUCUUAACUUUCAGAAAAAAAAUGCUUAUUGAAUUUCUUAAGUUCAUGUUUCUAAUACUUAGUGCUUUGAUAAUCUUUUAUCAAGGUUUCUUGAACUUAUACACAUUUGCCUUCGAUAGUUCAUAUGUGUGUCUAAACAAUUAAGACUAAUUGCCAAACCUCACAAUUCAAAUUAUGGAAAGGGAUGCCGUAACCAUAAUUGAAUUCGAGAAUGCAAUUUUACAAUCACUAUCUUCUUAAAAUCUGUCUUAGUGAAAGCAUUUCCUCACAAUCAUUUUCAUGAAGGAGGAAAUCUUAUGACACUUAGAUUUAAACGGUGUAUUUGUUCCUAUCCAUGUGAAUUUGUCAAAACCAAAGUUUACGACAAAUUCAAACUCUUAUGGAUCGAACUUUCUUGAUCUCGAUUUCUUGCCUUUAUGGUAGCACAGCUGCCCACCAUGUCUUCCAAGUAGUUAAGCAGCUCACCCUUUCCUAUCAAUGUACCUUUCAUUGAUUAAGGUGCUUUGCCUUUUAUGCGUUCAAAAUGAGAACUCAUAGAACUCACAUGCAUAAUUAACUCGAUUGGAUUGGCACAGAAUCAAAAUAAUGUCAACACGAUAGGUUGUAAACCUCAACUCGUGUGCUAGUGAUGAUCGAUAAGGUUUAUUUGAUUUGUUCUUGAAACCUUUCAAGACCAUUAAGACUCCCACUGACUCCUUGACAUAUAAGAUUCUCUUGUCAAAAAACAUUUCUUGACAAACAAAUAUUCAAGAGUUAGUGUAGCUUUUAUCAAAACACUUCAUAAAUUGGUCCUAGUUGGUCUUUGUCUUAUCCAAGACAUCACAACUUUCCACAUUUAAUGAAAGUUACAAACCUUCUUAAUACCUUUCACUCAAUGUCACAAUCUUAACUUUAAGACUUGUUAUUGGAACGAAGUAUGAUUGACUUAUUGAUUUAACCAUUUCUUCAAUUCUUGAUUCCUCUUCUUAGACAUACAAUUGUACUAAGACUCACUUAGAGGAUCAAUUGAGAUAUGGUUCUUAAUCAUUAAGACCUAUCAUAAAGCAUAAAAGGUACUCUCCCUUCUUCUUAGAAUGGAGAAACUUUUAUCUUUCUGCCUACUUGAUUCUUCUUAUUCGUUCUGCUAUUGAUUUAAACCUUUUCAAUCAAUUCAGAAUUACACUUAAUCUUAUAAGUAUAAUCAUAUUUACUAAACCUUUAGUAAAUCAUGACGAAUAUCUUUGUUACUCUUAUGGUGGACUUGAUCAACACGCAACUUUGUGUACUCGAUCUCCUAGUCCUUCACUUGACACUUUGUCAAUGAAUUAGUCUAAUUUCCAAAUAUGAAAUUUCUCAUUCAUCGUGCAACCAAGUUGCAUGAUUCCAAGUUUCUGUCCAAUUGAAACUUGGGCGAUGAGAAACUCUCCCUAUUUGGUAAAUUCUCGACUUUCCAUAAAUAACAUAAUAAGAACCAAAUCCAUUAUUGCUAAUAAUAGAAACAUUUUAACAUCAAUUUUUCAUACACGCCAUUGUAAGGAUAAAUAAAUAAAAUUUAAAAUCAAAAUUUAUUUUAUUGCGGAAAAAUUUGUCCUUACAAUGCAACUCAUUGAAAAACUUAUGCUAAUACAUCUUUCUUAGCAAUCUAAUUCUAACUCUAAGUAGUAGCUCAAGAAUCUAAUCUUCGAGAAAUGCGAUCGAAAUCCAUUCCUUCACGGUUAGAUUCUGCUCACUUCUUCCCUUAAGCUUCCUUUCUUUUCUUCGAUCCUACAAAACAUCAAUUGUAAUCUUAUCACAUUAUGUAUUAAGAAUCUAGAAUAGAAGCUUAAAAGAGUUAGUUAAUGGAUUUUACCUAUAUUAGAGCCAUACGUUUCGACUCUCCCAUCUCUUAGAUCUCUUAGGUAAAUGGGGCAGCUUCGUCUCCAAUGCCCUUUCUCUUGGCAAUAAAAGCAAAUUGACUCUUUUGGAACAUGACAUGGAACUACUUCAGACAUUGCCUUUCUCUUAUGAUCAAACUUUUCGAUCAUAGCAUGUCUUUCGUUGCCAUUGUCUAUAUCCAUAGAGGUCUUGAAGGCAGAUUCACCAAUCAACUUUGCUUUUCUAUUGCGCCAAACCAUUGCUGAUUCAGCAGCAAUAAGCAUAUAGGUGAGAUCUAUAAGGGUCACGUCGCAGUUCAUCAUAUAGUACUCUCUUACGAACUCACUAUAUGAGUUAGGAAGUGACUGAAGAACCCAAUCAACAGCCAUUUCCUCACAGACAACGGAUCCCAACAUUCUUAACCUAUCAAUGUGUGACUUCAUCCCUAGGACGUGUGCACACACCGACUUUCCUUCUUUAUGUUUACUUGCCAAAAGGGCUUGAGUGAUCUUGAACUUUUCAAGCCUUUGAACUUGUGGGUUAGGGAGAAUAAUUGGAGGAGGAGGAGGAAGUGAAGUAUGAUCUCUUGUUCCUCGAUCGAAUCGUGGAAUAUCAUCUUCAUGUGGAAUGCUUGUUCCACGGGAUUUGAGAAGACCAUAGUUGUCAAAAUUUGACAUCUACAAUAUGGGAGAAAACGAAUUCAAGUUAGUUUAUUGAAUGAGUCCUUAGCAAAUCACCCAAAUGAGAUACUAAGGCUAGGACCCAACACAAUAUUCUACAACUCGGGAGAGGGAUGCCGUAACCCUAAUUGCAGAAUAUUUGAAGGUAAGUGAAUGACGAUUCACUAAUUUCCACCAUGAAAAACGAAAAAGAAAUUUAAGUUUUAAAUCUAUGAAAACUCCUAGAUCCUUUGAGAUUCAUUGAACUUUCAAUGGCAUGUUUAAAUCUCGAUAUGCCCCUCUUGUUUGUGACUGGGAUGCCGAGGAUCACAAAGCGGGUGUGAAUAACCAUGCAAACUUACAUGGUGCCCUCACAUGUUACAGUCACCUAUUCGAUGUGCCGGUAAACCACACACGCUCCACCGAACUAUGACAAACAUUGAGUCACCCUUUGCUACCUUCACUUAGAACCAUUUAGUGUGCCGGUAAACCACACACGCUCCACUAACGUCUUCGCAAGGGUACAAAGUGUAAUUUCAUGGAAUUGCAUCAAUUCACUUUUGCCUAAGUAACUAAGAUUGGGAAUUUUAUGAAAACAUUUAGUUACUUUAAUAAUUCAUUAUACUUAUAAUGGAAGGUUUCGUCCUAUCCUACCCGUUCGGCUAACGACCCUCCACUAGUCAAGAGUGCGGUGGGUAAGAGUGGAUACCCAUUCAAUCGCCAUUUUAUAGGCAAUUUCCUUAAACACCCCUUAUAGACCAGCUUCGUGAAUGAGGCCUACUAACGGUAAGACUGACUUUUACUCAUUCAUAUAUAUAAUGUUAGACUUUUAAUGUUAUAUAUAGUAUAGGGUGUGUUUUACACUUUAAAAUACUAGGUGGUCAAAUAUAACAAUUAUAUUUUUAAUUGUAAACCAAAACUUUUAUGGAUUUAUUAAACUUCUUUUAAUUAUACACCUUAAUUAAUUAAUAAAACCAUAAGGGUGUAAUUUGAACCUUUUCAAAACAAUACUAGGGUUUUAGAAUUUAACAUCCUAAUUAAACUUUUAAUCAACUUUUAAAUUCCAAAACUUGAGGGCAAGUUUUGAAACUUUUCAAAACAAUUUAGUUUUAAUCUCUCUUAAAAUUUUCGAAUUUAUGCCAUAUAAAUUAAUAUUUUAAAUAUUAAAACUCUUGAUUUAAUAAUUAUCUUGAAUUAGACUAUUAAUUUAAUUAUUAAAUCAUAAGGGAUUAUCUAAAUCAUGAGGAUAAUUACCAUUUAUACAUUUAAGAUAUCCUAAUCCCUUAAUUAUCUCUCUAGAUUUCGAAAUUAUGGUUAGGAUAAUGCAAAAUCUAUAAUUACCAUAUAUAACAACUAGAGGAUAAUUACAAGAUAUGGGAUAAUCCAAAUCCCUAAAAUUUAGGAUCUUAUCUUGGGGAGGAGGCUAAUUUCGAAAAUCAUGGGGUUUUUCAAACCCUAGAUUUCGAAAUCUUGAGGCUUAAGUAAAGGAUUUGAAACCCUUUCAAAUUUUCGCAAAUUAGGGUAUAGAAACCCUAAUCUCGAAAUUUCUAGCCUCCUAGGGUUUAUUGGCUAUAAACCCUAAUAUGUCAAGUUCAUACAAUUGUAUAAUACUAAUUGAAAACAAGUUAACCAAAGGCUCUGAUACCACUGAUGGGUUUUAUACAAACAAUCCUAUGUGUACAUGCAACCUUAACAUUGGAUCUAUGUUUUCACUAUUAGAUACACAACAUUAUGAACACAUAAUAAAACCCUAAUCAAGAUUGCUAUUUUCGAAAUUAAACAAGAAGGUUAGAUUACAUAUCCCUUGUUGUUAUAUUGUAAUAACAACUUAAAUCUUCAAACCUAAAGUCUUGAAAGCAAGCACCACAAGUGUAGUGCCUCUAAUGACUCACAAACACCAAGAGCAAAUGGAGAAGGUAUAAAGAGAGAGGAGAGGUAUAAGAAUUCGUCUCUAGGACCUCUUGGGAAGGCAUGCACGAAUUAUGAGCCAAAGGGGUGCUUAUAUAUAGAUGUGGAGAUAGGGUUUCAGUCCUUAUCCUUAUCUAGUUGCUUGCCCACCAAGUAACCAUAAGAUAAGCCUUGAAAACCCUUAUCCUUUAUCCUUUGGACGAUUUCAAGGAUCCUNCAAAUUCGUUCACCAUAUAUAUAAGAUAAUCCUUACCUUAUUUUGUAACUAUCACAUAAUUACAAUUCAGCCCCUCUAGUUUAAUUAAUUACACUUGAUCACAAAAUUAAUUCUUAAUUAUUUAUUGACCAAUAUUAAUUAAACAAAUAUGAUUUCUCCUUUAAUAUAUUAUUCUUAUAACAUAUUAAUAAAUCAUAAUAACCUCUUUCUCUAUUAUUUCUCCAGUCAAGUUGCUUUGGUGAAGGCAACCCAAAAGGACCAUGCACCAUCGGGUCAAGUACAUAGCAAAAUAGUUAUGGACUUAGACACUAAUCCAACACAUAUGACUUGCCGAGUCACCCCUUGCGACUCGCUGAGUCCUAUCAGAUCUCAGGCCAUACAAACUCUUUUGAUCCAUGCAAUGCUUCCAAAUUAAAGAUCUAAGCUUCUGAGUCAUGCUUUCCACGUAAAGUUGCAAACUUUACGUGCAUGCAAGGCUUUAAGGCCCUAAAAUAGCAAAUCUAAGCUUGGAAUGGAUUCAUACACUAGAGGGGAGGCACAAGCUAGGCACAACUGAUAACUUUAUGCAUCUAAAGGCCAAAAGGAGUCCAGAUUUGAAGUUACCACUUCAGAUCUUGGCUUAAACACAAAAGCCCUUUCUUAGAAUCCAUGCACAAGAGGGUUUUGGGUGGAAAUGAGCCAAGGAACAACUUAUUACCUUCAGGAAGUGCUCCACAUAAGUAGAUCUUGAAUCCCCAUGAGUCCUUUGCUUCCUCUAGCUUGUUUCCUCAAGUGUUUUCUUCACCAAAUCCUUCCUUCAAGCUUAAAAUCACCAAGAAACACACUCACACUCGAAUAAGGGUUUCUGGGAGGUAAAGAGCUGUAAAGGGGAGGCUAGGGGAGGCUAAUGAUCCUUUAAAUAGGGUGCAAGGUCCCGAAAUCUAGGGUUUCAUCUGCCAGCAUCUACUCGUCGAGUCCCAUAUUGGACUCGGCGAGUAGGUCAUUAAACUUCUCGGACAAACCCGCUACUACUUGAGGAGUAGGGAGGCCAACUCGCCGAGUAGGUUCUUAAAAAUCCAAACCAAAAUAUCAUUAUUAAUACAUGAGGAUCAGGGUGUUACACCUCUCCCCCACUUGAAUUAGGCUUCGCCCUCGAAGCCUGCUGGUCCAAACAACUCUAGAUAGAAACCUCUCAUUUCAUCUUCCGAUUCCCAGGUCCAUUCGGAACCCUUUCGGUGCCGCCAUUGCACCUUUACCAACUUCACUUCUUUAUUACGGAGCUUCUUCGUCUUCCUGUCUAAGAUCGCAACUGGUCUCUUGACAUAAUUCAGGCUCCCAUCCAAUUGAAUGUCGUCCAAGGAUAUGACUGAAGACUCGUCGGCAACACGCUUCGGGACCUGAGACACAUGGAAGGUGUUGUGAAUCCGACUAAGCUCCUCUGGGAGCUCUAAACGAUAUGCUACCUUGCCCACCCAGGCUAUUAUCCUGAACGGACCUAUGAACCGAGGCCCCAAUUUGCCCCUCUUGCGGAACCGGAUAAUCCCUUUCCCGGGUUACAUCUUCAGUAAGACAAAGUCUCCUUACUGAAAUUCGAGGUCUGAUCGCCGUCGGUCCGCAUAACUCUUCUGACGACUCUGCGCGACUCGCAAUCGGUCACGCACCUGCUGAAUCAGUCCAAUGGUCUCGAGUACCACCUCCGUGCUCCCCAAAACUCGAUGCCCAACCUCAUCCCAGCACACUAGGGUCCUACACCUCCGUCCAUAUAACAUCUCAAAUGGUGCUCGGUCAAUACUGGCAUGAUAAUUGUUAUUGUACGAAAACUCUGCCAAUGGGAGGUACGUAUCCCAACUCCCUCCGAAAUCCAACACACAUGCCCGCAACAUAUCCUCCAGUGUCUGGAUCGUCCUCUCACUUUGGCUGUCGGUCUGGGGGUGAUAUGCCGUACUAAAAUGCAGCUGGGUACCCAGUUCCUCGUGGAACUUCUUCCAAAACCUGGAUGUAAACCGAACAUCCCUAUCCGAAACCACUGAUACCGACACUCCAUGCCUAGCCACUACCUCUCGAACAUAAAUGUCCGCCAACUUCUCUGCAGAUAUACUCUCGAAGAUCGGAAUGAAGUGAGAACUCUUAGUCAGUCUAUCCACGAUCACCCAUAUGACAUCUACUCCCCUCGCUGUCCAUGGUAGCUUCGUGAUGAACUCCAUAGUGAUCUCUUCCCACUUCCACAUGGAAAUGAGUAAUGGCUGAACCUUACCAUGAGGUCACUGGUGCUCAGCCUUGACCUUCUGCAGGUUAAGCAUUGAUCCACAUAUCCGAUGAUCUCCCGCUUCAUGCAGGGCCACCAAUAGCUCAGCCUCAAAUCCCUAUACAUUUUUGUUGCACCUGGGUGUAUAGAAAAUUUGGACUUAUGCGCCUCCUCUAAAAAUCUUUGCCUCACUUCCCCUUACAUCGGCACCUAUACUCGGCCACACUGCGUCAACAAGCCACGACUAUCCUUAAAAAACAAAGGAUACUGGCCCCGAAUUCUUUCCAAUUUCCAGUUCUCUUUCUUCACCCCCUCGACCUGAGCUCUCGAAUCAUGUCUAUCAAGGGUGGACUUACCAUCACCCUCAUACAAAUACCCCUGAUCGGCGACCCCGUCCCCUUGCGACUUAAUGCAUCGGCCACCACAUUGGCGUUCCCUGGAUGGUAUAAGAUCUCUCAGUCAUAGUCCUUUAGCACGUCCAACCAUCUCCUAUGUCGCAUAUUCAGGUUCUGCUGGUCCAUCAAAUACUUUAGACUCUUGUGAUCGGUAUACACAACGAAUUUCGCCCCAUACAAAUAGUGCCUCCAUAUCUUGAGGGCAAACACCACUGCCCCCAACUCCAGGUCAUGCGUGGGGUAAUUUUCCUCGUGAGGCUUCAACUGCCUCAAGGCAUAUGCGAUCACGUGCCCCUUCUGCAUCAGUACCGCACCCAACCCUGAGAUCGAUGCAUCACAAUAUACCACGAAAUCGUCCAAUCCCUCGGGCAGUACUAGGAUCGGAGCUUCACAUAACCUCUGCCUCAGGGUCUCAAAAUCCCUCUGCUGAUCCUCACCCAAUUGAAAAGCCACAUUCUUCUUGGUCAAAUGGGUCAAUGGCACAACAGUCUUGGAGAAAUCUUGGAUAAAUCUCCGAUAAUAACCCGCUAAGCCCAAGAAGCUACGAAUCUCCGAGGCAUUCCUUGGUACUUCCCAUCGCAUAACAGUCUCCACCUUCGCUGGGUCAACCGAAAUACCAUCUUGAUUGAUGACAUGACCCAAAAACUGCACUUCCCAUAACCAAAAGUCACACUUGGAGAACUUCGCAUACAACUUCUCCGUCCUCAAGGUCUCCAACACCUCUCUCAAAUGCUGCUCGUGCUGCUCCCUGGUCUUGGAGUAGACUAGAAUAUCAUCAAUAAAAUCAAUCACCGACUGAUCCAACAUUGACUUGCACACCCGGUUCAUGAGGUCCAUGAAUGCGGCCGGAGCAUUGGUGAGCCCGAAUGGCAUCACCACAAACUCGUAAUGACCAUAAUGAGUCCUGAAAGCUGUCUUUGGUAUAUCCUCAUCCCGAAUCCUCAUCUGAUGAUACCCUGACCGAAGAUCAAUCUUAGAGAACAACGAUGCUCCCUGAAGCUGAUCAAAUAGGUCGUUAAUCCUAGGCUGAGGAUAACGGUUCUUCACCGUCAGCUUAUUCAGCUCCUUGUAAUCGAUGCACAUCCUGUGCGACCCGUCCUUCUUUUUCACGAAAAGGAUCGGAGCUCCCCAUGGAGAACUACUUGGACGGAUGAACCCUUGGUCUAGUAGCUCUUGAAGCUGUGCAGAUAAUUCCUGCAUCUCGGGUGACGCCAACCGAUAUGGUGCUUUUGCUAUCGGGGCGGCACCUGGUACCAAUACAAAACUCCACCUGCCUUUCCGGUGGCACUCCGGGUAAUUCUUCGGGAAAAACUUCCUGAAAGUCCCGCACCACUGGCACACUGUUGAUAUCUGUCACUGCCUCUACCCGCGUAUCUGAAACAUAGGCCAAAAAUCCCAUGCAGCCCUGCUGCAGAAACCUCCUCACCCUCGCCGCUGAACAGAGGGUCGGGCCCUGCGAGGUCCUCUCGCCAUGGAUAACCAGUUCUCCCCCCCCCUUGGGGUUCGAACCCGGACUAACUGCCGCUCACAAUCGAUCAUGGCUCCAUUGGCCCCCAUCCAGUCCAUCCCAAUAAUCACCUUCAAUCUUCGCAAUGGUAUGGGAACCAAAUCAACGCGAAACAUUUUGCCAUGCACUUUCAGGACAUAAUCCUGACACACCCUCGCAGCACUCACGAUGCGAUCAUCUGCAAUCUCUACCUCGAGCGGGGUAUCCAGAGUCCCCGGUGCGUCUCAGAAUUUCUUGCUAAGUGCAAGAGACACAAAGGAUCGGGUAGCCCCCGAAUCAAAUAAGACAUGGGCCGUCAUACCAUUGACCAGAAAGGUCCCUAUACAAAGCAGAAUAAGCAUACAUACAAACAUUUAACGUAAAAGAGACAGAGGAUAAUGAAAACAUACUAGCCACGACGUUUGGCGCGGCCCGAGCCUCCUCGGUAGUCAGCUGGAAUGUGCGGCUCUUGACCGCUGGAGCUUCCGCCUUAGGGCGGCCAUACGUAAUCCUCAUAGUGGCGGGCGUGGGCGCUGCCACCGAUCCUCCUCCUCCUCCUCCUCCUCCUUGCAACCUCGGACAAUCGGCCUUUUUAUGGCCUUUCUGGUUGCAGUGAAAGCAUAUCAAGCCCUUCUUGGGGCAAUCCUUACUCAAGUGGCCCUGUUGGCCACAAGAGUAGCAUCUUGACAUCCCGACUGUCUGACAAUCCCCACUAUGAAAUCUCCCACACUUGGCACACUGGCCAUGACCCUUUUGGCCCUUACUCGAAGAAUCGGAGGUCUUAGGCUUCUUAGCCUGAGCCCUCGCUGCCUGCACCUGCUCAAUCUUCCGCUUCGUGCGGGACUCCAACUCCAUCUCCCUCUCACGGGCCUUAUCAACCAUCUCAUUCAGGGUUUUGCACCCUGUAAAGCUCACAAAUUCCCGAAUGUCCUCUCUCAGCAUAGAGUGAUAUCGGGUCCUCCUCAUGUCCUUAUCUGUCGCAUACUGCGGGAUCAACAAAGCUCGCUCUUGAAACUUGGUGGUGAUCUCUGCCACAGUCUCAGUAGUCUGCUGUAAAUCAUGAAACUCCCUUACCAUCCGUUGCACCUCAGUAGGUGGUGCAAAAUCCUGAUCGAAAUGUCGCACAAACUCAGCCCACGACAUGUCAGCCACACCGGCUGCUCCUACCUGACUAGUAAUCUCGCCCCACCAAUCUCGGGCCCUGUCCCUCAGCAUACAGGAAGCAAAUCCAACCUUUGCCUCCUCCGGGCAAGAACUCGUGCGCUGGGCAUUCUCAAUGUCCGCCACCCAGCGUCUGCUUACAAUGGGGUCCUUGACCCCAGAAAACUCCGGAGCUCCGCAUGCCUUGAACUCCCUAAACGAGGGGGUUCGAGCUCCACCCUGGCCCGCAGAAAUAUUGGCCCUGAAUGCUCUAAGUCUCUCCUCCAUGAUCUCCAUCAUGCCCUCCUUGACUGUCCCAAAUAUGACUAGGGUAGCGUCAAGGAUGCCCCUCGUAACCUCGGCCACAAUCAACUCACGCAGCCUCUCAUCGAUACCAUCAGUAGGGCCGCCUGACCCCGCCCCAGAUCCCGAUCCCGAUCCUGAUCCCGAUCCUGAUCCCGAUCCCCCUGCUCCAAACCGCGUAACCACCAUGAUAGACUGUCAUUUCACAAAACAUAAUGAUCAGGAUACCCAUAACGAGGUUACUUCCAUACUGUUUCCCUUUGGAGUUUCCCAGAUAGAACAUGGGUUUGGGUACGGGUCCUGUGCUUCCAAUAGUACGGGCCUAAUACUACCUCCACACCUACUCGUACCUUUCCCCGCUGUUUUACCUAGUACCUCCAAAUCUAUCCCCACAUAAACCAUGACUCACAACUCUUGCAUGAAUCAAACCCGGACACCCUAUGGUUGUCCUACUCAUAACAAUCAAACCAAUCACUACAGGUUGCUUUUAGGCAUGCAAAUUAUACACAGAAAGGAUCAAAUAGGCCAAAUCAAUCAUUAUGAGGCUAUCAGAUCCUAACCGUAUAUAAUUUUAAAACAUACACUUAGCAAUUCCAUAUAAUCGACGAGGCUCGCUAUCAUAUAACAUGGCUAUUCAACUUGGGAAACUACUUACUUGGCUAGGCUAAUCACGCGCGUUGCACUCUCCUCUUUUGGCUUAAAAAUCCUUUUUAAGUUACUUUUGAAAACAUUUUACCACUUCCUUAGUUUGAGUCCCGACACACCCGAGAAUGUGUCCGAAUCCCUCAAACCAAGGCUCUGAUACCAACUUGUAACGACCUAAUUUUACCAAGAAAUUUUUCAUUUUUAAUUAAUCAAAUAAAUCCCAGAAUCCAUAGAUUUCCAAACCAUUUGUUUUCCCAAUUCACAAUUAUUACAAUUUCAUUGUACUUUUUGAAAACAUCAGAGAGUCCCAACACACAAAAAGAGACGUAGAGUACACGCCACAUCAUCACACCUUGCCUUUUCCCUUAGGCUCUGAAGUACCUGAAACAAUCAACAACCUGUAAGCGAAAUGCUUAGUGAGUUUCCUAGAGCAUACCACACACACACAAACCACAUAUCACAUAUCCUGUUAGCUAUAAAAGCUACACACAUAUCACGUAAGCCAUGCAUACAUGAAACCUGAGAGAAUGCCAUGGGCUACCCCACAUGGUCUUUUCCUAGGACUGCCAUGGGCUCCCCCACAUGACCUUAUAUCCAAUGCCAUGGGCUACCCCACAUGGUCUUCACCUAGGACUACCAUGGGCUACCCCACAUGGUCUUACAUCCAAUGCCACGAGCUUCCCCUGGGGUCUUCAUACAAAACAUGCAAUCACAUAACAAAGCACAAAAUGUCUAUCACAUAUAUCAUAAUCACAUACUGGGCCGGCCUUGGUGCCUUAGACCCAUAGGUAUGGUGAGAAGACUCACCUGUCACGAAUGCUGAACUGACACUUUGCGACCAAAUAUACCCCACGAGCUGCUCCACUCAACUGCCUAAAAAGUGACACACAAUAUCUAGUCAUUUCCCCAAAGUCAAUCCUGGUCAACUACAACCAAGAUCAAGUCAACCGUCCAUGUUGAUCCUAACUCGCCGAGUACAACUAGUGACUCACCGAGUUUCCUAGAAUAACGUUUACUCGCUGAGUCAUCGAGGUGACUCGUCGAGUUCACACGGUCUUGAUUGAUAAUCUAAGGUCCUUCGUCGAGUUUCCUUGCUUGCCACUCGACACGUCUACGAACAUCCAAUAGCUGGGGGAAUCUUACUCGACUCGUCGAGUUGUUCCUUCAACUCAUCGAGUUCUAUGAAAUCUUCAUCCAGCUCGCCGAGUUGUGCAUCCAACUCGUCGAGUCUAAGAAAAUAUUCAUCAGGCUCGCCGAUUCGUUCAUCCAACUCGUCGAGUCCAUGCCUGCCUUCAUAUGACUCGCCGAGUCACCCUCUGCGACUCGCCGAGUCCUAUCAGAUCUCAGGCCAUACAGACUCUUUUAAGCUAUGCAAUGCUUCCAAAUUACAGAUCUCAGGCCAUAUAGACUCUUUUAAGUGCUCUUCUUUUUCUUCUUCUUAUUCACAAUCCACCAAUAAACUCUCUUUCAUGCUCAGAACUCAUGAAAUCACUCUAGGGUUUUGAUUUCAGGGUAGUGGGAGAUGGAGGCUGGUCUAAAAUGUCCAAAAGAUGAUAUAAUGAUGCUUAAAUAGGGUGAAAACCCUAAAAAUUUGGAUUUUCAUAUGGCUGGAGUAUGCUCCACGUACUCCCAAUACGGCCAAUAUACUCCAUGGAGGUCUGCGAUCCUUUCUGCCUUGUACCCCCAACGCACUCCCUUGUACGCCCUGCGUACAAGGCUUAGCCUUUUAAACCGCUAACUUCUGGAGGCCAUAACUUCUUCGUUCUGAGUCCGAUUUCGACAAUCCUUAUAUCCACGAAAAGGUAACAAUAUGCUCUAUAUUUCAUUCAACUCAUCUUUUCCUUAAAACUUCCCGAACUAAAUUCCAAAACUCAUAAAAAUCCCGAAUCGACACUUUACCAAUAUACCCCUUGGUUGUAAAACACAAACUGAACUCCGGGAUCAUCCAAAUUACAUUACUCGCACCCAAAUGGGUCUAAAUCCCUCUUUCCAAUGGCCCUAAGCCUUACAAUAACCGAUCUUUGGGCCACAGUCCCAAAUUAGGAAACAAUUCGGAAUAGGACGUUACAUAGGUGGAACCAAUCAAAAACAUAAUCACAAGAGUCUUUUUCUACCAUCAUAACCGAAAACAUCCUUUUGACCCUGAACCCUUCAACUGAUGCCAUUGGCAUAUAGAUUCCUUAAUCCAUAACUUGCUGAAAUAAAGAUCUUGCAUAUAUACACUAACGAUUCCCAACGCGAGUCUUAAUCAAAAGCCAACUCGGUAUAUAACUCAUAACUUGAGAUCCCAGGAUUUACACUUGCAUUUCACCUGAAAUCUUCUGAUUCACGGAAACCAUUCACUAAACCAGGAUAAAAUAAUCCCCAAAACACCGCUGAGACAGCCAGUCUUGCACCUAGUCCAGCUACCAGGUUCUUGAGAUUCCAACUGAUAAGGCUACCCUAGCCUAUGCAUCACUCUCUGCCACUCACUGACCAUAUAGUCAUCUCACUAAAAUCAUGAUCCAAUUCAUUGACCCAACCGGUCCCUACUAGGUCUCACCUGCACUGCCAUAAUCAUACGGACCUCACCCACGGGUCUCUCCCAGUCUAACCAACGAACAUGCCAUGUGAUAUCAACCCAUCGAGAGCUACACAGUCCCAACCUCGCCUCAGACCAUAUUGGUCCUCCUACCAUAGUAGAGAGAUGCUCUUUUACAAUACUGUUUGCCUUGCCCAAGGCACGAGCUAAAAUGUUUUCUACUCUUGUACAUUUGAAAUUGGUAAGAUGUGAUGUUUUGGAUAAAACAAAGACCAACUAAGGCCAAUUGUGUGAAGUGUUUAUCUUGAUAAGAAUCCGUACUAACUCUUGAAUAUUUGUUGUCAAGUAAUGGUAUUUGACAAAGAGAAACUUAUAUGUCAAGAGGUCAGUGGGAGUCUGAAAGAUCCUGAAAGAGUUUCAAGAACUAAUCAAGAAUAAAACCUGUAGUACUAACACACGACUUGAGGUUUGUAACCUAUCGUGCUGACAUAAUUCUUGUUUCCGUGCCUAUUCCGGUAAAAUUGACUAUGUAUGCGAGUUCUACGAGUUCUCAAUUGUGUGCAUAACAACUUGAAAGCAAUGGUAGGCCCUUGUGCUGCCAGGUGGCAAGAAAUUAAGAUUGAACAAGUUUAGUCCAUAUGAGUUUGAAUUUGUAACCAACCUUAUCUUGUGAUUAUGGUUUUGACAAACUCACAUGGAUAGGAACACAUACACCAUAAAAUCUAAGUGUCAUAAGGUUUCUCUUCGAUUCAUGAAAAUGAUGGCGAGGAAACGCUUUCACCAAGAAGAUUUUAAGGAGAUAGCAAUUGUGAUGUUUGCAUUCUCAAAUUCGAUCAUGAUUACAACAUCCCUCUUCAUGGUUUGAAUUGUGAGAAUGUCAAAAGGUCUAAACAUUAUGAUUAUGGCAUCCCUCUUCAUAAUUGUUUAGACACACAUGUGAGCUAUCUAAGGAAAAGUGUAUGAUUUUGAGAAGAUUAGAUAAAGUUUAAUCGAAGCAUCUUAUAUCAGAAAUCUAAACUUUGGUAAUGAAAGUCAAUGAAGCAUCGAUUUCUAGAAGUCCAGCUGAUUUCCGAGUACGUGUCAGAGCUAGUGGGAGCAUAAGUGUUAUGCUGGUAAGAUAAUAAUUAUUAUGCUAGUGAGAGCAUAAUUAAUUAUGGUAAAUAUUGCAAGUUAGCAAUGUUAAUUAUAGAAAACAAAAGUUUCAAUUCGUGAAGUUGCAGGGGUUGAAAAAGUUGUUUUGCUAUAAUUAAGGGAGAUGAAAUUAUACUUCAUUUCAAAUCUAAAAGCUUAGAUUGUGAGAUUUUAAUCAAAUUUAGUCAUGAUUACAUUAUUUGCGUUCUAAAAUUCGAUUAUGAUUAUGACAUCCCUUCUCAUAAUUCGAAUUAUGAGAACAUGGCAAAUUAUAAGAAAUAUUGUAGCAAAAGACUGGUCAAGUAUCAUGUCUUUAUGUGAGACAUCAUGAAUCAUGUCUUGUAUGCUUUAGAUAUAGGAUCAAUUGCAUGUGCUAUAGUACUUUUCCGUUCUAAAUUUUCCAAAUGCCUAGGGCAUUAAGAGGAAAAAAGGAAGAGAACCGGAUAUGACUGAAAUGAUUAAGAAAUUGUCAAGGAAAAUCCGAGGUUUACCUAAGAUUGGUUUCUCAUGGAUAGUUGGAAGUAUGAUGUAAAAUUUUGGAGAGGGACCAUAUUGACAUAUUCUGAAAAGAGGCAACUCUUGUUCAGAAGUAAGAGUCAAAAUGGGAAUAUAGAAAUGGUUCCAUAGGAGGAAGUUAUUCUUCAAAAUCCAUGUAAGAUUAGAAAAACUUAAUGCAAGAAGGACGUUCAAAGGAAUGUACUUUGAAUGUGAGACUUCGUUUCCUUGGAAUUGAUCUACAUUGGAAUACUUUGUAAUGUCUAUUGCCAAGUCUUUGUGACUUUUGUGCAUAGUCAUUACAAGAGGACCAAUGCAUAUGAAUUUAAAAUCUAACAGAUUACAGUAAAUGGCAAGAAUUUGGUAUUCUUACAUUUACAAUAAGGACUUGGGAUUAUGAAAUGAGCAUCAUUGGAAUCAUGUUCAAUUAGUCUAUCUCACAAAGUAAGGGUCAUAGACAAACAUAAUGUGCAUACUUGGAGUAUGGCAUAACUAUUGUUUGGACAAACAUAGUGUGUAUGCUUGGAGCAUGGCAUGCCUAUUGUUUCAGUUCAAGUAUAAAGUUGAUUAUUUGAAACAUUAUGCAAUGAAUAAUGUGUAAUCAAUAUGAUGAUUAAAUAAAAGGUGUUUUAUUUAUAUUCAUCUGUUCUGAGACCAUAUUGGAUUCGAUUAUUCUUAUGUUUCAGUUUGCAUGUUUUGAAUUCCCGAAUAACUAAGUUAUUCAAACCAUCCACAGUCGAUCAUACUUUGGAAGUAGGUAUUGAGGCAAGACUGUCAUGAAUGGGUCUGUAGUUUAUCUGAGACAAAGUGGCUGCAGUGUUCAUGAGUGCUCCUAGAAUGAGAUUCGAGUAUUGGAUUCAACCCACGCUCAUUUGAAUCACUUCAUGGAUUUUAUCACGAAUGAUCAUGAGACAUUAAUAUUUUAUAUUCUUCAAACGGAGACGUGUGAGUUGUAGUUGCGAGUUGGUUAUACAUUGACAUAUGUAAAUGCAACCAAUAACUUGGUUGUUAUAAAACAUAUCGUUGUGUGUGAUUUGAUGAGUAAGUACAAGCGAGCAUUUGGGUUGAAUUUUAUCCAUUCCUUUUACCCUUGGAGGGAUAAAAGCGAUAUCUGUGGGCCCCUCAAUGAUUUAGUGAUGACACCCCUAGGUGCUUGGCCAAGCCUGGACUGAUUUGAUUUGUUCAAUUAGUCAGUCGUCAUAAAUCGGAAAUUAGGAAACAACAAAUGGACAGAGAGAAUGAGUAUAAUCCAUGUCUCAGUCCAUAUGAUAUCUAGAAUGGAGGAAUAUAUGAUCCCUUAUCUAAUGGAAACGUCAUUUGACUAGGUCAAAGUUUGACAUCGGCUUUAAGAGCUACGAUUGCUAGUCGGGAUCUUGGAGUCAUACUUGAAUAUUAAUAGUUUUAGAUUUAUCCAAGUGGGAGACUGUUGGAUUAGAUGUCUAAGCCCAUAACUAUUAUUGGUAUGUACUUGACCCGAGAGUAUCAUGAUCCGUUUGGGUUGCAUGGCAUCGGAACAAUUGGAUAGACAAGUGAGAAAUGGUUAUUUAUGAUUUAUAUUAAUAUAUUAUAAGUUCUAAUAUAUUAAUAUGAAAUCCUAUUAUUUAAUUAGUAUUGAUCAAGAAUUAAUUUGGAAUUUAAUUUUCUGAUCAAAAGAGACUAGUUAAAUAUAUGAGGAUUGAUUAUGUAAAUCAUUCAUUCUUAUAUAUGUGAGCUUGUGAUCCGUUGUCCUUCAUGUUCGGCUUAACCCAUGUGGUAACCCAUGAAUACUCCAUGGAGUUUAAAACCCAUGGAUCAUGAAGGAAAUGGAAAGUCAUGCACAUUAGGGUUUACAUGGUGUAACCCUAAUGAGCCAUACUGUAUAAAGGAUCCCAUGGUUCAUGAAAUGGCACUAGUGGAUACACAUAGUGAGGGCAAGGGCCGAUUUCAUAGGGAGAACCAAAGUAACCUUCUUCUCAAGUUAUUCCAUUUGUUGGUGGUGUUGUGUGAUUCCAUUUGAGGCUUCCACACUAUUGGGGCUAAGCUCUUAAAGGUUCAAGACUUCGAUCUCCAUCAAAAGGUAUGUCAUCUAACUAGACUUUUGUAGUAUAGUUGCUCCAUAAUAUGUUAGUUAGGAUGACGCUUUGGAAUUUUAUAUAUUUACAUGUAUAAUAGUGAAAAAAAUAGAUCCAAGGCACAUAGGGUUGCAUGCACACCAUAGGAGUGUUAGAAUGCUCAAAACCCAUUAGAGUUGCCUUUAGAUCCUUUAGAUUUAGCAACAAAGCAAUGUACCUGCAUUUGGAACACUUUUUGCUUCCUUAAGAACUUCCUUCUCAUGAGAUUUGAGAAUCCCAACCAGUUUUGCAAAAGAAUAGUCCUUAAACUCUUCAUGAGAUUUCAUAGUUGAAACAAUAUGUUUCCAUUCAAACCUCAUGCCAUUUAGAAAAGUGAGCUUCUAUUUAAUUACUUCCCUUUUCAACAUGUGCUUCAUCAUUCUACUCAGCAAAUGGUUAAAACGAGAAACAGUUUGUUCAACGAAUUCGUCUGAUUCUUGUUCAAAUGAACCAAAUUAAGAUAAAAGACUAGUUUUUGUUGAAUGAAGUAGAUCAUCAUGAUUAGAAUAUAAUUCUUCAGUUUAUUCCAAAUUUGAUGAGCAGUCUCACAAGAAAUAACCAAAUGGAAGGUAUUUGGAGGAAGAGAAAACCUCAGAAUUCUGAAUGCCUUUAGGUUGCAUAACAACAAUUCUUUUUCUUUAGAAACAAUAACCUUUUCUUGAACCAGUUCAUCAAAUCUCUUUUGAUAUUAAACUAUUUCUUGAGUUUUUUCAACUUUAUAUGGUCCUUCUUCAAUUGCACGCCGGAUGCUUGAGCCAUGAGUUUCAAUGCCAAAAACAUAGUCUUCAAAAUGAAGUGCCCAGACUUCAUAGUCUUCUCGAAAGAGAAUUGGAAUUUGGUUUGUAUAACCAAUAGCACCAUGAAGGUUGAAUGAAAUCGAGUGAGAAUCUUCUUUAGACAUUUUCGAACAAAUAGAAAGAGAUAAGAAUCAGAUCUGUAAGCUAAAAGCAAGUUUCAAACCAAAAAAAUCAAACGAUUUGCACUAAGAAUUAAUUUUGACCAAAAUGCAAUGAAAGAUUGCAAAAUGCGGAAUCGAUUGAAAAAUUGAUAGAAAAAUAAAAUAAGAACACGAAGAAUUGUAACAAUUUUGGAUUUGAAAACAGCUUACAAAACGUCUCGCUCUGAUACCACAUGAUAGAAUUGUAGGAAAGGUAGAUUCUAAAAUGAAAAUUUCAUAUGAAGAUGUAAAAGAUUUGGAAGAACACAAAGAUAUAAAUAAGAUCUUUUUGCAUUAGAGGAUCGAGAGAACAAUUCUUUACAAGACUUGUGCAGAACUAUUCUAUGUGAAAAACUCUGUCCUCUCUACUAACUAAUGCUCCUAUAUAUAGGCGUUAGGGGAGCACUAGAAAGGAAUCCUAAGUCGACAGUUUAGAACUGCAAACCUAAGAUUAAAUAAGAUUCAGAAAUCGGAAUUACAAGAGCUCAAUUCAGAAUCUAAGAAAAGACACUAAAGAUUAUAGACGCAUACAAGUAGACACAAUCUAAUUCCGAAUCCCAACAGAUUGAAUUAUAAAACAUAAAACGAAGAAAUUAAUAAUUGGUGAAAUCAAGAUAUUUUAUAAUUAUAUAACUAAGGCUGAACGGUGUGGUGCUGACGGCACCACAUUCCACAUAAGUUUAUGGUGACAUUUUUGCUAUUUUUACCACUUUCAAUAGAGGUUAGAGUAUGAUGCUGACAAAAGAGAGUAGAAUAAAAAGGAGAGACGAUGGUGAUAUUUGAAUGGUAAAUGAGGAGAGGGGCAUUGGCAAAAUUGCGUUGAAGAUUACCGAUGGCAAAAAAUUUAGUUGAGGAGCGGUGUUUACCGCAUAAGCAUACCGACAGUAAACUAGUUAGAACACCAUUAAGCCUAAUAACAUUAGGGCAUGUUCUAAAAUCGAGACCUCAACCGAAUUCAAGGUUAUAGAGCUUUGGUAUGAGAAAGACAUUGCAGUCCAUAAAGUCACAUGAUUAAAAAGCAAUAACAAUAUUUAACGUAGGGUUAGAAGGGGCUGUGGCCCCUUUAUUUUUUUUGGUUAACUAUUAAAUUUUAUAUCUAUUUGGCUUCAAAAUAUCAACCUCCGUACUCAUAUUGGAUAGACCAUAAGUAGCCAUAACAACACGUUGGAAAACAAAGAAAUCGAAAUAUCAAAGAAACUUGAUAUUUAUUACACAGCCGCUACUGUUAAGGAAAUUAAACCAAAAAAAUGAAAACUAACUAACGUUUAACACAUACACACACAAUUGAUUAUUCAAACCAACUUCUCUUACCAACAUCACAUGGCUGUGGGAAAAGUGCGCCAUCGUAGGCGCCAAAAGAACACAAAGAAACAAACGACAAACGAUAAUUAGUUGCCAUUCACGGCUCCAGUGGUGGUGGUAAAGGCGGUGGGUCACCGGAGGAUGAUGGAUUAUUACUACCAAGUAGGUGAGUAAUCCCCAUUCUUGUAUCCCUUCUCGAGCUCCACUCGUGUAAAGAAAGGUGUAGUUUCUUCGCCGCCACCAGAAACUCCACCGCCUGCAAUGGUGUAAAAAUCUCUAAAAUACCCUUCAGUGUACUCAUCCUCAGCUUAUCUGCUUCCAUCAAAACAUUAUACAUAUCAAGGGCAUGUGUGUCCAUCGCUAUGUCCACCACCCCACCCUCGCUUGACUCCCCAACCCCCCUACACCCACUUGCCAGCAACAUCAAUGGCUCGUCCGCUAUCCUUUCCUGAUACAACACAUGUGAAAUUCACUACCUGCAAUCUGUAACAUUUAUAAAAAGAUUUGUAGGUUUGUUCCCACAUAUGUUUUAUUGAAUUCUACAGUAUGCCUGUAAGGUUGCCAUAUAUGACGACAGCUUAUCUUGCUCUUUAACCGUUUUGGCAUGAAGUUCAUCUAUUCUUUUGAGCUGCAAGCUUGAUAUUUCUCCGAUGUUUCCAUGUCGAACUCCUUCAAGAAACUCCUUCAAGUGUGUAUUUAGGUGGGACCCACAUAGCGCAUACACGAGCCGGAUCAUCAAAGUAGGUCUGCAACCACCGAUCCAAAGAAACGAGUUCACAAAAGUGCUCCCCCAGCUUGGAGCCAAAAAGGAUGGCCCAUCAUGUUUGGCUAGUUGCGCUCGAGAGUUGUUGUAGUUCUCGAAGUGGGUGAGCAUUUUUUUGGUUAUGAGUUGGAGGUAGUCGACGUCGGUUGGGUAGUUGGUGAGUGUUUGGAGUAAUUCGUCCAGAUCGAGCUGUUGUUGAGCCACCCAGUUCUGAUAACAGCAUU
rnacentral:lncRNA from 1 species